ACGCGGCACCCCCGAGCCGAGCCGGGCCGGGCCGAGCCGGGCCGGGGCCGCCCGGGUCACUCGGCACCUGUUCGCCCGGCGCUCAUGGGGCGCCGGCACAGCCCCGGCGCAGGCAGGCGGCCCCCGGCGGGGUUUUUUUGUUGUGGUGGUGCCGCUCCGGGCGGGGGGGCGGGGGCCGGCCGGGGGCUGGGCGGGGGGGGCUCUGCGCGGUGGGAAGCGGGGCGGGUGGAGGGCUCCGCGCUGCGCAGCGGCGGAGCGAGGCAGGAUAUCCCGGCGGCUGCGGCGGCGGCGGCGGCGGAGAGGGAGCUUCGGCCGGAGAGAAAGAAUUAAAAUCCCAUCCUUAGCAAAUCUCCGCUCGGCCCCGCGCUGCGCCCGCGUUCAUCCUGGAUAGCGCAGGUGAAGGGGAAAAAUGGAAAGAAGAAGGAGAGAAAAAAAAAGAAGCGAGCCCUCCCUCCUGCUCCUUCCUGCAGGCUGUGGCGGGCUGUGUCCGUCCGGGCUGUGCCUCCCGAGCAGCGCAGGAGGGAGGGAGCACUGAAGGGCAAACCGCUCUCCUCGUUCCCCUUUAUUCCAGGGCUGGGCGCGCUGCUGUCCCCGCUCCGGGCACGGAGGUGCUGGAAGGAAAGAAAGUUCUUACCUGCUAUUUUCUAAGCUUAAUACAUCCGAUCCGAGGGUUUAGUACAAAUUUUUGUUAAAGAAAAAAAAAAUCAUAAUUAUAUAUUUUUUUAAAAAAAAUGUAAUGCUCCGUAAGCAUUUCACUUCUUCGUAUUCCGUCCCACUGAAUUUGGUGAUGCCCUUUUAAGGUUUUUCAUCCAUUGAUUCACUCCCAGCAGAUGGAGGAGGGGGGGGGGGGGGGGGGGGGGGGGGGGGGGGGGGGGGGGAAGCGAAAAGAUGUAGGAGAUGGGAGAUGGGCUCGGCCGCUGGACUGGAGGAGAGCAAGCUCGGUCCCAGGAGGGCUGCGAGGGAAGGAGGCGGCUCUCGGGCGCUGUGCCGGGGUGAUGCUCGCACGCAGGACUCCUCGGGUGCGGGGGAGCCUUUGGGGGACCCUUCGGGCUGAUCCGGCUGCCAGGCGUGCAAGUGGAAGCAAGAGAAAUCAGUGGAAGCUUUUCAACUGGAACAGAAAUCAGAGGUCUCAUUUGCUCGAAGAUGUUCAAAAGGAACAGAGCUGCUGGCGUGCUGACAGCUCCCACAUCACACAGACAGGAACAGCACUAUCAAUGCAGGCCUUCUUCUGGAUCAGCUUCAGGCUCUUUCCCACCCUUCCACCUGCACUGCUGACAGAAACAGCGGCUGAUGCCUCUAUACGGCUGCUGAUGCUUCAGACACUCUGGUCUGAAGCCCAGCACAGUUUCUCUUCGCCAGGGAAAGCCCCAUCAGCGGCACACGUUUAA
rnacentral:lncRNA from 1 species